CUGGAAGCCCCUUAAGGUCUUACCCUAGGACAGCCAUGAAGAUCCUCCUCAUUAUUAAAAUCCCUCCCUUGAAGUAAUUUUGAGGAUUAAUAGAACCAGCUCUUCACGAGCAUCUGUGGAGCACAUGAAAGACUCCAAGUAAUCAGGGGAUGGAAAAUGGAUGUCAGAAGAGAAGGCAAAACAGAGUUGCCAUGAGUACAAAAAAGAGCAUAGUUCUCAGUCUUUCCAGGACCCCUUCACUACAGAAAGAGCUUGGAACACCAGAAAGCGCCUUGUGCUCCAUCACCCAAAAACAGAAGCAUUCUGCGUGUACAGGGACACCACCCUCUCCCCAUGCACAUAUCCCCUCAAAACCCCAUGAAACCCCAAAUCCAAACACCUUAGGCUUCUGGAGUUCCUGGUAUUUCCUCUUUGACUUCACCUCUGGGAAAAAAAAAAAAAAAGAGGCUGAAGUUCUCUAGAAGGAGAUGCUUCUACACUUCCUCCCCCAGAAGCUUCACCUGGAUGUUGCUGGAAGUGAAUGAAAUAAUUCUUAUUGACUUAUAUAUUACGAAGCAUGUUGUAGAGCUCCACUCCCUGAGCUAUUCUAUCCUCUUUGCAAAUGUAAAUUAAAUAUGGUACUUCAAAUCCUGAUUUUUCAAACUUUCACUUCAUUGUUUGAAAAUGGCUGGCUCAUAUCUGGAUCAUAUCCUCCUUCAUGGGAAGAAUGAAACGUCUGCCCACAAUGGGAUGAAGUUGAAGUGUGAAUGGACAAGAAUACAGUGUGUGUAAGAGGUGUGGCUUGAGCGGCUGCUGAUCCCUUCAAAAAUGUUUUAAAAACAUAUCAGAUAAGUAGACGUACAGACUGGGACUCAAAGGUGACGCUGGCAGGUGAGAAGCCUUUUGGAGCCUCAUCUCUAAGGGAACAGUCAGCUAAAUUUCAGUGUUGAACCACAGGGGGAAAGAAUGCAAAUGAGAAAGAACAAACAAAGCUUGUCUGAUGUGAGAGCUUCCUGAUUUUAGUACUCUUUUUUUUUUUCUUCCCCUCAUCUUUCCAGCUCUUUUGCUGCAGAUGAAAAUUGCUACAGAGGAAGCAAGAGCGAAGCAGUAUGACUUGGUGCUGCCAGGCAGCGGUGCCUUUCAUGGUGAUCCCAGGCUCUGUCACCGUGCCAUCUCCUUGAGACUUUCUGAGCUGUAAAUUGAUUUAAAAACAAUUGUAAUGACCUGCUUGCAUCAACUCAAUCAAACUUCAUUACGAAGGAUAAAAUGACACAUAAAAGAAUGGAAGAUACAUAAAUUCUGCAGAGGCCUGCAAACAUCUUGUG
ensembl:lncRNA